AGAUGCUUGGGCAUAUUUGCCGUGUCGUCCCACUGUGCUCCCAGUGGCAUGUAAGCGUUAUCGACAAAUGUCAAAAAUUAUCAAGGCUUUUUAUGAGAUAGAAGCAGACAGCUAUGUCAAUAAGUUAUUUUUGCUUUGAAUUCACACACUAAAGAGGAGAGAGAGUUAAAGGGGAGCGUAUCCUUGUGAUCUAAAUGACGCUUUGCCAUAAGCUUGGAACAAUGGUUUGUUGGUGGAGCAGUUCUGUGGAAUACUUAGAGAGUAAGCAAACUGCAGUAGCAGCAGUUAGACGGGGAGUAAAAAAUGCAACACUGGUUUUAUAUGAACGAGCUACCUUUAAGAUGUGGCCGCAACAGUUCAUGCAGUAGAUGAGCAAAAAUAAUUUUAAAAUUUAGGAGAGAAAUUAAAAAUAAAUUAUUUGCCCACCUCACACUGCCAGUGGCAAGAGCAGCCAUGCUUUAAUGUUUUCAAUCAGUCAUUUAUAUCCAUCCAUUUAUGUCGGCCUAAUCGUCCAUGUAGAUGUUUUGAUUGUUGCUUUUGAGUUAUCGUGGCGUCACAUUUUAAUACUGACAUCUGUUUUCAGAAUCAAAAUGAGCCUGGAGACGCCACAGCCGGAAUGCAAAAGGUUGGAGAGGUGCUCAUUCAGAUGAUCCUGGCACAGCUUGCCAUGGUGGACCAGGCAAGUUUGCAAGGGCCUUGAUUCACCAUGUGUUCACUGAGGAGAACUUCAUGGGCCACUUACUUCUCGGAAACACCACCACCAAUAGGCAAAAAGAGGCUCUUGGCCUUAUCAGGGUCAACGCUGUUAUAGGCAAGUACCUUUCCUGGGACAAACAUGACCUACAUUAGGAACACUCUGGCCUCACUUCUCGCAAGGGACCUGAAGUGUCCAGAAGAGCUCAAGUCUGUGGACAGUUCAAGUGUUGUGCACUUGCAGCCCUGAACAUUUUUUUUAUUAUUAUGGUGUUUCUGG